GGAGAUCUUAACCGCCCAAUGUUUUGAAGCAACUCUAAAUGUUUCCUUGUUUUUAAUUAAUCGGAUAUACUCGUAUGUAGCUCACUGCGAGCAGUUGUGCGUUGUUUUAUAAUCCAGUUCAUAUCUUUUGGAUUUGCUGAUUUACGAAUCUAAUCCACAGGUGACAACUAGUGGGAAGAAAAAGACCACGCCAUUGAUAUCUAGGCAACACGAUAAAUGGCAUAUUGUCACUUGACUGACGUGGGAUGGACGCAAUCGCCGGCAUUGCGGUGUAGCAAAUGUACUGAGCCCCCGGCAUGGAAUCUACGUGAACCGCCAUGCCUCUCCCUUGAAGACUGCAUAUGUGUGUGGUGUAUCAUUAUUAUUAUCCUUAUUAUAAUAAUAAUAAUCAUUAUUGUUAUAAUCUGCAUUUGGAAAAGAAAAAAGAUUUAUAACUGGUAUAAACAGUGGCACAAUAGAGCCCGAGUUACGGAUAGUUCAACGG